UCUCCUUCGCAAUCCAAUCUUUCAGAGCAUCGAAACGCCACUUUUAGCUAAUAUUGGUUCUUCUUCUUGGAACAAUCCGAGAGAUUCGUCCCUCCGAGCCAAGCAACUAAUACAAUAACUACUUAACAACUUGCAAACAUUAAAAAAAGAGGGUAUAAGUAUUGACUUCUUUUUUUAUUUCCUUUGUCCUUUUUUAGGGGGAAGGAACUCCGUCGGUGACUCCUAAACUCCCAUUGGCUCCUUCCUAUUUAUCUACUGCGAGGAAAAGGGCAACUCGCCAGACAGUGAAAUCGACUCAAGGUGUACAUGGGAAAGCCAAAGGGACCAGAGGACUGUUGCCCAACAUUAAACAACAUCAAAGUAAAUUAAGCUGAGCUUGAGUCCAACUCUAAAAUACAAGCCAGGCUAGACAUUACUAGGGCAUUAAGAUCAUUGUAACAGAAUUAUAAAACAGUCAUCGCAACCAUUAACUAACCUAAUCACCGUUGCAAAAUAUGAUAUGUCUGUCUAUAAUCUUACAUCUAAACUGCCAUGGUCUCACAUCUAUAGGUCAUUGUAUUCUGUAAUAACAGCUAAAACUGGCAUGUGAAAUUUGUUCAUAUUGCAAAAAUGUUUUUUGCAAAUCAAUUAGCCGUAUAUAUUAAAAGGAGUGAGUUGGGGUCUUUGGGUCUGUCAAAUUUGUUUCAACAUGAAAAACAAUAGAAUUUGCAAGAAAAAUUUAUAAUACAACAACUGCAAGUAUCAACAUUUUCAGAAAGAAAAUUUCACACAAAUUUUAAAGUUACUUCAUCGAAUUGAAAACAACCUAUACUUAUCUUUAAAUAAUUCUUUACAACUCUUUCUUGCUUGAAAUUAUUUAUAAUUUUUAAACUUUUUGUUCCUCAACAUGCAUAACGUGCCUGUUUACUAGUUUCCCACUAGACUGCUUCUCAACCGAGUUUUCCUCCAACAUCACCAAGCUCCUCUUCUUCCACCCAGAAACCAAUCUCCCCUAUCAUCAGGUUUAUAUAUGUAUGUGUGUAUAUAUAUAUAUA
rnacentral:lncRNA from 1 species